GACGAACGCUGGCGGCGUGCCUAAUACAUGCAAGUAGGACGCAGUUGCGAAAGGGUGAGUAACGCGUAGGUAACCACCUAAUUACGGGGGAGAACGAUUGGAAACGAGAGCUAAAACCGCAUACUAGUAGAUGGACCUACCUUGUAUUAGCUAGUAGGUUUGGUAAUGGGCUACCUAGGCAACGAUACAUAUCCGACCUGAGAGGGGUAUCGGCCUCACUGGGGAUGGGAAACGGCCCAGACUCCUACUGGAGGCAGCAGUAGGGAAACUGCGGCAAUGGGGGGAACCCUGACCGAGCAACGCCGCGUGAGUGAAGAAGGUUUGCGGAUCGUAAAGCUCUGUUGUUAAGGAAGCGGUACUUAACCAGAAAGGGACGGCUAACUACGUGCCAGCCGCCGCGGUAAUAC
rnacentral:rRNA from 1 species